AACGAACGCUGGCGGCAGGCCUAACACAUGCAAGUCGAGCGAAGCCUUCGGGCUUAGCGGCGGACGGGUGAGUAACGCGUGGGAACGUGCCCUUUGCUACGGAAUAGCCCCGGGAAACUGGGAGUAAUACCGUAUGUGCCCUUCGGGGGAAAGAUUUAUCGGCAAAGGAUCGGCCCGCGUUGGAUUAGGUAGUUGGUGGGGUAAUGGCCUACCAAGCCGACGAUCCAUAGCUGGUUUGAGAGGAUGAUCAGCCACACUGGGACUGAGACACGGCCCAGACUCCUACGGGAGGCAGCAGUGGGGAAUCUUAGACAAUGGGCGGAAGCCUGAUCUAGCCAUGCCGCGUGAUCGAUGAAGGCCUUAGGGUUGUAAAGAUUUUUCAGGUGGGAAGAUAAUGACUGUACCACCAGAAGAAGCCCCGGCUAACUCCGUGCCAGCCGCCGCAGUAAAAC
rnacentral:rRNA from 1 species